rnacentral:tRNA from 1 species
GGGGUUGUGGCUCAGUGGUACAGCGUUCUCCUAGAACAUGCAAGGCCCUGGGUUUGAUCCUCAGCACCACA